UGCAGCUAUGAAGCUCCAGGACCUGGGAAGGGGCAACUGAGGAGGUCUCUUGACUGGAGCAGUUGCUUUCCCUCCCGAGUGUGUGAGGUUAAGAUUCGCAGUCCUCUGUGCUUCCAUGGUGGAUGCUGUGGCCUUAACUUCUGGGAGACUCAGUUUCCAGUUCCUCUUCAUUAUGGUUCUGAACAGCUGAACUUAGGCUCUGAAGUGCUAUUUUCCCAGUCUUCUCAGAAACAUGAUGACUUUAUCAGAGAUUAUGGAUGGAAGGCUCAAUUGUCACUGAGCUAGAUGGAGCCAGAAAUGACUUGGAUUUCAAGUAGAAUUGAAGAAUUUCUUUUGGAACCAAUGACAGAAAACUUUCUUAAUAAAC
ensembl:lncRNA